UGUCGUCAGCUCGUGUCGUGAGAUGUUCGGUUUAAGUCCGCUAACGAGCGCAACCCUCGCUGUGUGUUACAAGUGUCACACGGAACUGCGGUCAUAAACCGGAGGAAGGUGGGGAUGACGUCAAGUCAGCAUGGCCUUUAUAUCCUGGGCUACACACACGCUACAAUGGGAAGGGACAAUAGGUUGCGAAGCCGCGAGGCGGAGCCAAUCCAGCAAAACUUCCCUCAGUUCAGAUUGCAGGCUGCAACUCGCCUGCAUGAAGUUGGAGUUGCUAGUAAACGCAGGUCAGCCAUACUGCGUUGAAUACGUUCCCGGGGCUU
rnacentral:rRNA from 1 species